GACCUCUCUCUUUUUCCAGUCAGUUUCCCAGUCAUCAGUUCGCCCCUUCUAAUCUUACUCAUUUUGAGUGCUUUCUGUCUCUCUGCAGAACAUAUAAAUACAUUUCUCCCAGUUUUCCAUUUCACUGUUUAUGACUGGAAAAUGAAAUACAUUCAGAAGUAGAUGUUCUCAACCAAUGUAAGUACAAUAUAACGGGCCAAACUUGUCUGUCACUGACGGUUGGAUUAUAAAUCCUAAAUACUAAUUUAAAUAAAGAUAAAUAGUAAUUACAUUGGAAAUAUAUAUUUUAAAAUAUUCUCGAAUUUUUAAAUAUAUCAAGGAUUUUAAUGUCAAUGCCCAACUUAAAGGGUUACUCAAAUCAAAAAUAGUUUUAAUAAAACAUUGUUUUUGGUCAUAAUAAUCCUUACUAUACUGGUCCCCCACCUCAAAGAAAAGAAAAAAAAUUAAACAAAAGCUUACCUUUGUUUCAGAACUAAGGCUAGGUUUUCUGGGCAGCUUGAUCCUCUUCCUGUGAUGUUUCUCCCCCCACUUUGGGGAGUAUGGGCAGCAUCUCAGCAUCAGUUCGGAGUUGUUAUCCCAGAUUUCAUACUGCUGCGUCACUUUCACCUCAAUUCCUGAGUAAUUGCUCCAAUUUUUAUGCAGCUGCGUCAAUUUCACUUAGUAAGCGGCGCCAUUACGCCAUAGAAAAUGCAGACAAGUCUUAUCAUAUGAAACAAGUGUGUUGUUUUGAGUGCAGUGAUAGUAUUACUAGGUCAUGGGCACGUCAUUUUGGCUUCAAACAAAUGUACAUGACGCAGGCCAUGACCUUCAUGCCUUUAUAUAUAUAUUUUUCUAUUUCUAGUGUCUUGUUUCUAAUGUACAUGUGUCAACGACUCACAAUUGACGCAAAACCCUGGGCCUAAAUACACUCACUCUGUUGUAGGCUCAAAACCCUUUGGUGGUUCCAGACCUCCUAAGCUCGCUGUUUUGUGUAUUUUGGUUUCCCUUGGCUUUUUGAUCUGGCUUUGUUAUUUACCCUGCCUUGUCUUCUCGUAUCCCUGACCAGGUCAGUCCUGAUGCUGUUAUUGCCUUGUUCUCCAGGUCUAGUUUGCUCUGGUAAUUCUCUGGCCUUGCUAUAGUAUUUAAUACUGCUGAUUCCAGUUUCUAUGCUAAGCAUUAAGUCUGUUAAUGUCUGGUAAUACACCUUUUGAAACCCUUCAACCAGGCCCAGACUGGCCAUUGGGCGAACCAGUUAAAUGUCCGGUGGGCUGCGAUGGCCAUGAGCCGAGGUCGGCAGGAGAGAUCAAGGGAUCUCCCCUGCCAGCCCAUGCAGGGCAGCAGUGGCCCUAAUAGGGAGUUCCGGCCCCUCACGGGCUGGUGGAGGGGAGAUUGGACAGUGAACGCCACGCUCCAUGUAUGCUGGAAAACCAGCCUGUCUUCUCGCGAGCGCCGAUAUUAGCAUAGCGUUGCCAUAGUAAGCCAUGGCAACGCUCUGAAAAAAAACCCCACCAGAGACAGAGUAACCCUGCGGGGUACAGACUAAAUAACCUGCCGGCUGGACUGGAUUAUCUUGUGGCGUACCCCCUCUCACUGGACCACCAGGGGUCUGCAUGUUCCCUCUCCCCCUGCAAGGUAAUAAGGGGAAGUAAAUGUGAUUUUUUUAAUUGUUUUUUAAAUUACAUUCAUUAUUUAAGCCCCUAUCCUCACACUAUAUAUACACACCCUUACAUAUAUAUAAGGGCUGACUUAACCACCCACCUGCUUCGAUACCUUUUGGUUGCAGGGAGGCGACUUCCUAGGACUACAGCCGCUGAUGGGAGUCUGAAACUAGCUGACUGCUGUGUACCCCCCUCUGUGUCCUCUCAGCCCACGCGGUUUGUAAGCUGUGAGGAAUUAAGAUAGUGACUUCCUUCCAGCACUCUGUAAGCAUUAAAGGGACCUGGUCAUGCAGACAAAGGGCUGCAGCACCUGGCUGAGGGGGGUGGAAACUGCUUGGUUUCCUCCUGGCAUCACCGAUACUGCAGGGGCAUGAUCAGGUUCUUAAAGGACCUCUGUACCCCACCAGGCACUUGUUUAUCAGUAAUACGUAUCGGCCCUUAACCCCUUAAGGACGGAGCCAAAUGUACACGAGUGACAGGCAACAGAGGGUUGUAGUUAAUGGAAUAUAUUCGAAGCUUGGACUUGUCACCAGUGGGGUACCUCAGGGAUCUGUACUUGGACCCAUUCUCUUUAAUAUUUUUAUUAGUGAUAUUGCAGAAGGUCUUGAUGGUAAGGUAUGUCUUUUUGCUGAUGAUACUAAGAUAUGUAACAGGGUUGAUGUUCCAGGAGGGAUAAGCCAAAUGACAAAUGAUUUAGGUAAACUAGAAAAAUGGUCAGAAUUGUGGCAACUGACAUUUAAUGUGGAUAAGUGUAAGAUAAUGCAUCUUGGACGAAAAAACACAAGGGCAGAGUACAGAAUAUUUGAUAGAGUCCUAACCUCAACAUAUGAGGAAAGGUAUUUAGGGGUGAUUAUUUCUGAUGACUUAAAGGUAGGCAGACAAUGUAAUAGAGCAGCAGGAAAUGCUAGCAGAAUGCUUGGUUGUAUAGGGAGAGGUAUUAGCAGUAGAAAGAGGGAAGUGCUCAUGCCAUUGUACAGAACACUGGUGAGACCUCAGUUGGAGUAUUGUACACAGUACUGGAGACCGUAUCUUCAGACUGAUAUUGAUACCUUAGAGAGAGUUCAGAGAAGGGCUACUAAACUUGUUCAUGGAUUGCGGGAUAACACUUACCAGGAAAGGUUAAAGGAUCUUAACAUGUAUAGCUUGGAGGAAAGACGAGACAGGGGGGAUAUGAUAGAAACAUUUAAAUAUACAAAGGGAAUCAACACAGUAAAAGAGGAGACUAUAUUUAAAAGAAGAAAAACUACCUCAACAAGAGGACAUAGUCUUAAAUUAGAGGGACAAAGGUUUAAAAAUAAUAUCAGGAAGUAUUACUUUACUGAGAGGGUAGUGGAUGCAUGGAAUAGCCUUCCAGCUGAAGUGGCAGAGGUUAACACAGUAAAGGAGUUUAAGCAUGCGUGGGAUAGGCAUAGGUUAUCCUAACUAUAAGAUAAGACUAGGGAGUAAUGAAAGUAUUUAGAAAAUUGGGCAGACUAGAUGGGCCGAAUGGUUCUUAUCUGCCGUCACAUUCUAUGUUUCUAUGUUUCUAUGUUGUGAACAAAACAAAAUGUAAACAAAACCUGGCAUUUGCGCUACAUGUCUGUCCAACCAUAAUUCACCUCUUUCAUAGUAAAUGCACCCACCCUUAUUAUAUAUAAUUUUAUUCAGGGGAAACAGGGCUUUCAUUUAAUAUCAAAUAUUUAGCUAUGAAACAUAAUUUAAUAUGAAAAACAUGGGAGAAAAUAAGAUUAUUUUAAAUUUUUUUAGUUCUAUAUGACAUUUUUACUGUCAAUGUCAUAAUACUGUUUGCUUUUAGUGCAAUAAAAUACACAUAUUUGUAUUCAGCAAAGUCUCACGUGUAAGACAGUAGCCCCUAUGUACAGGUUUUAUGGCGUUUUGGGAAGUUACAGGGUCAAAUAUAACACGUUACAUUUAAAAUUGAAAUUCGCCAGAUUGGUUACAUUGCCUUUUAGACUGUAUAGUAGCCCGGGAAUGAAAUUUACACCCAUAAUGGCAUACCAUUUGCAAUAGUAGACAUCCCAAGGUAUUGCAAAUGGGGCAUGUCCAGUCUUUUUUAGUAGCCAUUUGGUCACAAACACUGGCCAAAGUUAGCGUUAGAAUUUGUGUGUGAAAAAUGCAAAAAAACGCCAAUUUUGGCCAGUGUUUGUGACCAAGUGGCUACUAAAAAAGACUGGACAUACCCCGUUUACAAUACCUUGGGUUGUCUUCUUUUGCAAAUGGUAUGCCAUCAUAGGGGUAAUUUCCAUUCUUGGGCUACCAUAGGGUCUCAAAGGCAACCUAACCAAUCUGACAAAUUUUAAUGUGAAAAAAUGAAACACAAGCCUUAUAUUUGACGCUGUAACUUUUGAAAACACCAUAAAACCUGUACAUGAGGGGUACUGUUGUACUCGGGAGACUUCGCUGAACACAAAUAUUUGUGUUUCAAAACAGUAAAAAGUAUCGCAGCAAUAAUAUCAUCCAUGUAAGUGCUGUUUGUGCGUGAGAAAUGCAAAAAACUUCACUUUUACUGGCGAAAUCAUCGUUGUAAUACAUUUUACUGUUUUGAAACACUAAUAUUUGUGUUCAUCGAAGUCUCCCGAGUAGAACAGUACCCCCCAUGUACAGGUUUUAUGGUGUCUUGGAAAGUUAUAGGGUUAAAUAUAGUGCUAGCAAAUUAAAUUCCCUUUUUACUUUCGGCAUGGGUUGUCAGGCAGAUCCCGCUAAUUGUAAUUAAUUAAGAUACCUAAUUAUGUAAAAAUAUUACAUAAAUAUAUAUGUAGAAUUAAUAUAUGUAUAUAUAUACGUAUGUAAAUCUAUUUGUGUAUAUAUAUAUAUAUAUAUAAUUUUUAAAAAAAUAUUUUUAUUUAUAUAUAGGUAUAUCUAUAGUGAUAUAUACGUAUAUAGAUAUAUAUAUUAUUUCGUUCUACAUGUAUUUUGAUAUAAAUAUAUAUAUUAAUAUCACAAUACAGUUAGAACGAAAUAACACAUCUAUAUAUUUUUUAAUUAUUUAUUUUUAAUUAUUUUUUAAUUUUAUAUUUUAACGUAUUUACAGUUUUUUUAUAUUAUAUAUAAAUAUAUAUAUUACAAUAAUUAUAUAUAUAUAUUUAAUCAGUAUCAGUCUACGAGUAAUUUAAUAUAUUAUAUAUAUAUAUAUAUAUAUAUAUAUAUAUAAUUAUAUAUAUUUUAAUAGUAAAAUACACCUAGACAGUGUGUGUGUGUGUGUGUGUGUGUGUGUGUGUGUGUAUGUAUAUAUAUAUAAUAUAUAUAUAUAUUUAGAUCAUAUAUAUAAUAUAAUUUAUUUUUUUACACUUUUAACAUUAUUUUAUUUUAUUUCCAGCCAGCAGGGGGACCACCUGUCAUUACAGGCAGCCCCCCUGCUGGCAAUACAGAAGCCAGCUAUCCCGGCCAUGUGAUUGUGAGGUCCUCGCAAGGACCUCACUCUCACAUGGCCGGGGGGGGCUUCAGGAUGUCAGAUGUGCCGCGGGGGGCUCCCUGGGAGUCCCCCCAACCGCGAUCGCCGGCGUGGGAUCGCUGGCAACCGGUUAAGUACAAAAAAAAGUAGGGCGUACUAUUACGCCCGAAGGCGUUUUGAGCCGCUUAAAAUAGGACGUAAUAGUACGCCCUCCGGCAUUAAGGGGUUAAUGUGUGGACCACACGAUGGGUCCCCAAGGUAAUGCAGGCCCAGUACACAGGGCUGGACUGGCCCACCGGGAUAUCGGGGGAAUUUCCCGGUGGGCCGGUGGACUUGGGGCCGGCAGUGCAGGACCUGAAAAAUACAUUUUUUCCUCCUCUGAGUUUUUGUGUGAGGGCUGGGGCAGACAAUUACUGAAGUGGCUGCUAGAGGCAGGUACACAGAGAGAGGUAGCAGCCAUCUGCAGCAGGGAGGAGAGAGUCUCCCACACAUUGCCAGCUCCUCUGCAUGGUCAGUCGUAGGAUCCAGCCCACGCACUGCGCUCCGCCCCCAGCCUCAGCCUGGUGAACUUUUACACAGAAAGAGGAAGUACAGGAAGCACCACAAGAAGGAUCCACACUGCCAGUGACAGGUAAUUCUAUGAUUGAUACUGAAAGAGAUAGAGAGAGAGUGUGUGCUUCUGUGUGUAUCAGCUCACUUGUAGUAAGUUUUUGUUUGUCAGUGAGUUUUUAGUGUGCUUGUGUGUGUAUCAGUGAGCUUGCCUGUAAUAAGCUUGUGUAUGUCAGUAAGUUUGACUGUUGUGAACUUGUGUAUGGGGCAGGGAGCUUGUGUGUGUUGGUGUGCUUGUGUGGGUCGGUCAGAGAGGUUGUGUGUGUGGUGAGCUUGUCUGUAGUUAGGUUGUGUUUGUCACUGAGUUUGUCUCUAAUGCAUAGGCGUGCGCACGGGGUGUGCCUGGGCACACCCUAAUCCCCGUGGCACGCUUAUGUAUUGAGAACGGCAGGGGAGAUCUCAGGAUCUCCCCUGUCGGCUCAUGCAGAGCCGGCGCUAUCAAAGCGCCGGCUCUGCUCUAAGCCUCCCCUCACCGACCCACAGGCAGUGAGGGAGGCAGGAGAGGACCCGGGGAGCUCUUGCCAGCUGCUCCGCCGGGUUUGUCUCGCGAGGUAGGAGCGUUGCCAUUGAACUAGUGUGAUUUAUUAAUGUGGAACAUCCUUUUAAUAUAUAUAUUUUCUGAAAUUAUACAAUUGACACACUGAUGCCGAUAUACUGAUAGAGGAUUGUCACUGAUGCCAAUAUACUGAUGGAGGAUUGUCCUGCUUAAAGAAUUGUCCCCAAGCAGAGCCAGUCACAACAGACAAGGGGGCGUCCUGGAGGGUGGAGGCUAUAGCACUGUAACACCCAUGAAUCAUCUGGUGCGAGGGGCUGCAGGUAAGACAAAAGUUUUCCAAAGUACAUACAUAUAAACAAUACCAGCAUACUAUGUGACACAAUGAAUUAGAGGGCUGGAAUAAAUUUUUUCCAGGGCUGCUUUCUGUUCCCAGUCCGGCCCUGCCAGUACAUACACACCAGCUGCAAUGGAUGUAGUUCUGCCAAUGGUCAUGGGUGAAUAUUUCUUAAUAUGUAAGCAGAAGUUCUAUGAUAGUCAAAGCCGGAUUUACAUGUCAGUUACCUGUAGGUACAGAAUUGUAAGAUGCCCCCUGCCCGUCUGUGAAUAUAGUGAGUGUGUGCACCUUUAUAAAUAAAGAUAUGUUUAGAAUUUGUUGGGAUAAAGAGGGGUGUAAAGUAGAGAGUGUUCAACAUCAGAGUUAGAGUACAUAUGAUGUUUGUUAAGUGUUAAAGGAACACUAUAGCAUAUAGGUAUGCCUAGUGCUAUAGUGCUGUACCGCUCAGAGCUGCUCCCCUCUCUACCUGCUGCAACAUCACUAGCUUUGCAUCUUUUCCUAAGUUGUGGUUCAAAGCUGUUGGAUACAGCAAACACAGACUCAAUGGAAUCCAUGUUUAAAAUGGAAUGAGGCAAAAAUAUGUUAAACUAAUUUACAUAUACCCACCCAGAAUCCUUUGCGGUAGUAACAUCACUGAAGAUUUGUGAUUUCUGUGGGGAAAGCAAGUCUUAUGGCUUGACUGGUGUGCAGAUUUUUGUAUUAACUAUCCAUCUUAUUACUAACAAAGAUAAAACAACUGUUACUUAUAGACAUAGUAGGAUAAGAAAUAUAGCUUAAUAUACCACACUAAACAGCACCAGAGACAUAGUAGAGACAUCUGACACGAGUAGUAGCAUAAGAACAUGCAGUUCCAUUUAGAAUGUGCUAAUGCAGAUGACUGAAAAUAAAAAAUAAAAAAGGUGCUCAAUAUCAAGUAAACAUUAGAGAGCAUGUUAUACAAGUCGGCAUACUGAGAUAUAAUAAAGAAUAGAAGGCAGACCUUUAUAGGGAAUCUACAGUCCAACACAACAUGGAUCUUCAGGCACAGAGUUGAAGGUGUCAGGUUUAAAUCCUGGGUCUGCAGUUGCUUUUCUCCCAUCUCUCCAUCACUCCGCAUCUCCUUCCUGCUUGGCCUAGAGAUAUGUUGCUGCGACAUUUGAUGGCAUAUUGCUGGUCUUGUAGUGCCUCAGGUGUGUUGAGCCUGAGGAGAUGGAGGCUAAAGCGGACUAGUCCUGGUGCUUAAAAAGAGGUGAGUAAUCUUUAUUAAAUUUACAUUGCUUUACCAGGAAAAGUGAGUGGACAGAAGGGAACCUUUAGUUCCGAAAUAAAGAUUGUUAUUUUUAAGACUAUAGUUUCCUUUAAGCUCCAAAAAGUCACAUUAUGCUGAAAACAGGUACCCCCUACAAGACAUGCAGCUGUUGGUCAAUGUAAAAUGACUGUCAAAAUCUUUGCCAAACAUUUAUAUGAUCAUUACCAAACUUAGUGCUGCAUACAUAGAAAAUAAAGGGGUUACGACCAACACUGACCUCAUACCACAAAAUGAUGCAAAGUUCAGGGACUGGCAUCCAUAGCAACCGCCAACCACCAGACCACAGAGAUAAUUGCUAAAUGAAACUGCUGCUGGAGCCUCAUUAAAUAAGCAACUUUUGCCCAUAUAAAAGCCGCAUAUAGUCCAUUGAAGGUGAAUAGAAGCAAAUAAAGGACAUUCCAUCUGCCAUGGAAAUUACAUGAUAAAGGGAUAAAAACAGUUGUGUAUUCUGGUUUUGUGUUGUCCUAGGCAUGACAAAACUCAGGCACCCCACCACUUCUAAAUUUCACUUCCUUUUAUAAACCAACACGCUCUUUGCCCGACAGACAUAUGCCUUCACUAAUGCAUACACUGACAUACACUCACUGACAGAUACACAGUCAUUGUCACACACACUGUUUAAUCAACACACACUUUCACUGAAACAUUCGCAUUCACCGACAGACACAGGCAUUCACUGACAGAUAUACAUGCACACUCACUGACAGACAGACACACAUACACAUUCACCGAUAGACACACAUACACACUAACUGACAGAUAUACAUACACACUCAAUGACAGACGCACACUCACUCAGUGUCAGACACACACACUGUGACCCACAUAUACUCACUGACAGACACACACUGACAAACACAUACACACUCACUGACAGACACACAAACACACUCGCCAACAGACAUAAACACACUAACACACUCACUAACCAACACACACACUCACCAACCAACACACACUCACCAACAUACACACACACUAAGACACUCACUAGCAGACAUACUCACUGACACACACUCUUUGACAGACACACAUGCACACUCUUUGACAGACACACUCUCACUAACAGACACACUAACACACUCACCAACAGACACACACUAACACAUUCACUAACAGACACAGAUACACUAACACACUCACCAACAGAUUUCAUUUUUUUUUUUUUAAAGUUGCAUCCACUGAGCCUCCAUACAUUUGCUGGAGUGUAUUUUCCAUUUUGCUGUGGUCCAGUGGGGCUGGCUGCAGCUCGGCGGGCGAUCUGGUAGGCGGGCACAGAGUGGAGGCGGGCGGCAAGGGAGCUCUGAUCCUUCUGCUCAGCUCCCUUGCGCGCCUCUUGGUGAUGCCGGAGUGAUGUCAUAUUUCGUCACUGGCAUUACUGCGGUGCGCGUGAGGGAGCUGAGCAGGGAAGAGCUCAGGGGAGAGUGCUCCCUCCCACAUCAGUGCAUGCCAGGUGGCCAGCCAGCCUCGGCCCCCCCGGACUAGAGGCUGGCAAGGUAUUUGCCAGAGGAUUUGGAGGGCGCCUUUUUUUGACGCAAAUGCCUUGUCAGCCUCAUGGUAAAUACACCACUGUAUAUAAAUAUAUUAAACAGUGAGAUAUUGAUAUUUUACAAUUUCUUAUACUAACAUAUCUUGCAGACAUAUGAUGCUUAUCCAUGGCUCCUGUCAGGGACAUAAAAUAAGUGUCUUUCAAUUAAACCUAUGCCAGCCUAAUCAUUCAAUUCAUCUAUAGGGGUCCAACAUUGAGAGUUAUGAAAUUGGCACAGAGGCUGAUGUCUCUGUGUCACUAGUGAUGUCAUAAAACUGAUGGUCCUAUUUGAAAAAGGGCCAGGGAUACCCAAGGAAGGGGCAUAUUUAUUUCUUUAUUUAUGAAAUCUUUUACCAGGGCAGAUACAUCGAGAUUUCAAGUUUGUACAGGGGCAUAUCAGACUGGAAUGCAUUCACUAAUUUACCCUCACUGGCUGGCUGCACUCAGGGUAGACCAUGCAAAAAGUGUUGGUGAAGUGCUCUCUGCAUAGUCCUAGAGUAGUGCCCUGACAUCUUUUGGCACAGUCUGAUCUAAUAAUGUGCAUUUCGGAAAUAGUUCUUGGUGUCCCUGAAUGCAGGAUACCAGGGAACCAACAAAUAAUUCUUAACCUUGGAGUCUGAACCCAAAAGACUGCUGUUUCAAUGGGUCCCCUCUGAAUGGAACAGGCACAUUAUAUUCAUAAGGCCCAGGCAACUGCAAAUAAUAAAUUGGUUACUGUGGUAGGAUUGCUUUUCUAAGGGCAAAGGAGACCCAUCUGAUACCUUACCGGGUCUAUUGAUGGCACAGACACACCGAUAGGCUCGGGGGAGAGAGAGACAAACACAAGAGGGGCUGGGGAGAAAGAGAAACACAGGAGGGGCUGAGGGGGAGAAAGCGAAAUAUAAGAGGGGUUGGAGGGAAAGAGAGACACGCCGAGGGGCAGAGAGAAGCACACCAAGGAGCUUGAGGAAGAGACACACAAAAGGGGCCGGCGGAGAAAGAUACAAACAAAGAGGCAGGGGGAGAAAGACACACAUAGGUGCUGUGGAAAGGUACACAAAGAGGCUGGGAGGAAGUAAGAGAUACAAAUGGGAGGAGUAUGUGACACAUAAGGGGAAAAUAGGGGACAAAAUAAACUAAAGGAGGUGUAAGACACAAAAGAAGGAUAAGAUACACUAAAAGGCGUAAAACAUUCAAAAGAGGGGUUAAGAGACACAGAAGUGAGGUAGUGCAUCUUCACCUGUGUAGCCAAAAAUCCUUGCACUAGCCCUGCAAAGCAGCUGUAGAAUGCUGAGUGAAACAAUUUUAAAAUUUAAGAAAAGGUUGCCAUGUUCAAAUGAUGUAUUGAAACUCCUGAGCAAACACUCUGUAAAUAAAAUACUCUUAGAAUAUAGUUAUAUGGACAGAGUAUACCUGUAUAUUCUAAACUCUUAACAUCCACAAAAUCUAUUUCUUCAUUACUACAUUUGUAAAAAAAAAAUGAUAAAUGGUCUAAAAGGUACAAUGAAUCACUAUCAAAAUGUGCUCAUAAAUGUACACUUACUUCUAGGUGCCUGAGCAAGUAACAGAGCAAUUAUGAAUUUAGAGAAGUCUUUGAACGUUGUUUUGAGAAAUAUAGUUACUUAUCACAUACAAUAAUAUUCUGUCAUGUCAAUGUAAACAAGCUGACAAACAUAGUUGCCAUACUUGCAUUAACUGUAUUGCCCUAUAAUUCUAAAUAUUACAAUGUAUUAUAUUGGAAACAAUUAUCCUUACAAAUAUAAAAAAAACAUUGCACUACCUUGAAUGACACUGCCCUCCAAUGAAAGAAAAAUUGCCCUCCAAUGAAGGUUGCUGCCCUCCAACAGCAAACAUUGCCCUCUUAAGAAAGAUAUUGCAUGAGGAUGUCCAGCAUCUUAAAGGACCACUAUAGUGCCAGAAAAACAAACUCGAUUUCCUGGCACUAUUGUUCCCCGUGGGUGCCCCCACCCUCAGGGUCCCACUGCCGCCGGGCUGAAUGGAGAGGAAGGGGGUUAAAUACUCACCUUUCUCCAGCGCCAGGCUCCCUCGGCGCUGGGGACUCUUCUCCCUCUUUCGACGUCAUCGGCUGAAUGCGCAUGCGCGGCAAGAGCCGCGCGCGCAUUCAGCCAGUCCAUAGGAAAGCAUUCUCGAUGAGACAGCCACUAGAGGCUGGAUUAACCCAUGUGUAAACAUAGCAGUUUCUCUGAAACUGCUAUGUUUAUAGCAGGCAGGGUUAAUCCUAGAUGGACCUGGCACCCAGACCACUUCAUUGAGCUGAAGUGGUCUGGGUGCCUAUAGUGGUCCUUUAAAAAAUAAAAAAAAACAUAGGAAAGCAUUGAUUCAGUCACUUACCGCGGAUGCGUGUUCAGUUUCAGAAUCUUUGUGAUGUCAGAGCAAGAGGAGCACGAUCCAGAGCUAUGGGACAUUAGUGCUGGUAUCCAGUAGUGAAAAAAUGUAAGUUGGGGGGGGGGGGGAAGCACCACAAGGGGGGGGGGACAUUACUGGUGCAGAGGGACUAUGUAGUGUUAGGAAUCCAAUUUUGUUGUUUUUGUACUCUAAGUUUUAAUUUCUUUUACUAAGUUUUAUUCAUGCUUGUUACAAGGCAGAUGAGAUGUUCUGACUAAGAGACCCAAACUUAUUUUAAAAUGUUCAGCAGCUAAAUACCAGUGAAGUUUACAGAGAAACACUUGAGAGAAAACUCUGCAAAUCAUAACAUAUCCCCAGUUGUGAAUGGCUGGCAAAAGUGUAGCUAAGAAUCUAGAAAAAUAAGUUAUCUUGUCUGUGUGCUGUGUUUAUUUUGGAAGUUGUCUGUAGACACAGAAAAGGGAUUAACACACAGCAGGCAGUCACAAACAUUGUGUAUGCAUGGCCACCGGAGGCGGGCAGCUGCUUUCUGUCACUGUAUAACGUUGACACAAGUAGCUCUCCAUUACUUGAGUUCAGCCAAUCAGAACUUAUGAGUUAGGAAGAAAACAAGUUGUUGUGUAAGUAUGGAAGUCCUUCCACAGCAGUACAAACAGGCCAAGAAGAUACUUAAAUACGUCACCCAAACACAGAGUUGCGAAUUAUGCAUAUCCAUAUCCAUUGUGCUCACAGAUGCCUAUGGGUGGAGGGAUGGAGUCUGGAAUCUUGAGAGACUGAGGGUAUGCAGUAUUUUUAAUGGGAAUAUCCAGACAUGCAAGAGUCAGAUGAUCCAUGGAAGACAGUGAUAAAAACAGACUGAAACUAUUGCCCAUCACAAAUAUCAGUAUCUCAGCAUUGCUUUUUGUUCCAGUGCUUCACAGCAUGUACAUACAUACGAAUGGUUUCAAACAAAAAUGGAGCCAUUCAUCUGUUUGAUCGAAAAACAAAAUAGGAUGCUUUUCAUGCACAUUACUCUAAUAACGGUAAAACUUUAUAUACACUGGUUUAUAUUCCUAGCCAUAAACAUUAUACUUUUUAAACAGCUUUUUACAAGUUUACAUUAAAUUGAUCCCUACAAAUAUAAAAAAAACAUUGCACUACCUCGAAUGACACUGCCCUCCAAUGAAAGAAAUUGCCCUCCAAUGAAGGUUGCUGCCCUCCAACAGCAAACAUUGCCCUCUUAAGAAAGAUAUUGCAUGAGGAUGUCCAGCAUCUUAAAGGACCCCUAUAUUUGUAGGGAUCAAUUUAAUGUAAGUUUUUACCGCUUUGCACAAAAGGGGUAAAAACCGUUUAGGCGAUCGGCCCCCUUUCCAGAGAUGCAGGCACAGCUACUGCAGAACACCAAACACACGAACCGCCAAUAAGUGAAUGCUCCAAACUCCCGAACGGCAUCCAAUAUAGCACUCCAAACACACGAACAGGAACCAUACGAAUUGCUGCUAGCAGACGAAUAGGAAAAGCAUCCAAGCGGCUUACACUCCUAGCAAUCAGUCUCUAUCAGCAUUCAGUAAAUCCCCCCAAAGACGAGACAAGGCUCCGUGUUGAGGGUCAAGCAGUGGUCUGUUUAAUGAGGGCUACCUGCCCAGUAUUUAUGCAGUUCUCCCACCCGGUGGACACUCCCCUAGGGGACCAAAUGGGAGACUGUGACAAGGGACAGACAAGCAGACAAAUAUGACACACAGUCACAAUAUAUUCCCACAAUGCAUCCUGGCUUCCUCCCCUCUGCCCUGGGAGAUAAUUGAGGAGUAAUUCAAUUAUCUCCCAAGACAAAGGCAAAUCGCCAUUACGCACGUGUGGAUACUAAAACAAGCAUUACUGUUAAAAUACACCAGGUAAGACACAUUACAUUAAAACUAUUCAUUUAACAUAUCCCCAGAUAGCUCAGGUCUGAGCGCACAUUAUUAAGCGAAAGGCGCUCAGACCACACGAAUACAGUUUAAUCGCCAUGGAGCCAAAGUCUUUAAUUCCACGAACAGGCUCCAUGGCAGGCUAUCUGGGUACUUGCACACAGAAUACAAUUGCAGCCCUAAAAGUCCCGAAUGCUCCGUUGUUCGGUUCCCGAACGGGUUUGCAGACUUCCAGCCUCAGCGGGGCUUGUAAGACAAAAGUGUCCGCUUUUGGUGUCCUGCCACUGGGUAGAACAAGCGCUGGCUACCCGGGGAGCUUCCAUAACACCGCCAUCGUGUGGCGGCUAGGUGUAACCGCGACCACCCAGUAAUUGUCAAUUAAGCUGCGGUUAACCGCAGCUUCAGGGGGGUUAAUUGCCGGCACACUCCAGCUCCCAGGUAGUCUAUUCAUUUGUGCGGUUGUUCGGUAGAUUGAAUCUACCGAACAACCGGCAGAAAAGCACGAAUACAGCUUUUCUGCAGGCGAAACAAAGUCUUUUAACAUGGGGGCCAUAGUCCAAAGGCAGCAGGCGAGCAACCAGGCUUCUCCAAUGCAAUGUGGCGAGAUUGGUCUCGUCACAAGUGCCAGAAAAACAAACUCGAUUUCCUGGCACUAUAGUGCCCAUCACAAAUAUCAGUAUCUCAGCAUUGCUUUUUUUUCCAGUGCUUCACAGCAUGUACAUACAUACGAAUAGUUUCAAACAAAAAUGGAGCCAUUCAUAUGUUUGAUCGAAAAACUAAAUAGGAUGCUUUUCAUGCACAUUACUCUAAUAACGGUAAAACUUUAUAUACACUGGUUUAUAUUCCUAGCCAUAAACAUUAUACUUUUUAAACAGCUUUUUACAAGUUUACAUUAAAUUGAUGUUUAAUGUACUUUGUUAUUUUAAUAGAGCUGUGGCACAUGCUUAUUCUCCCAGUGGUUACUUUGUACAUAAAUAGAAGUAAAUAGGAUGUUGUGGUGAAUCCAUUGUACGGCGCUGCGGAAUUUGCUGGCGCUAUAUAAAUAAUAAUAAUAACUGCAAGAUUUACAAAAUGUAGAUAAUAACAAUAAAUAUGGAAAAGUGCAUUACAUGAAAACUGAUUACAUAGUGAAUAAAUGCAUUAGUCUCAGCAGCACAGUGUAUCCAUCUCCUCCCAAAUCUGCACUUUAAGGAGCUAUAAUGCUGUAUUAGUGACUGUGUUAAAGAGAGGAAGACUGACCUUCUGUGAGUCAUAUGGGCAUUGCGUGAGACCGUCCUCUGAUGAGCAUAACAAGUGUGUUUGCUAUAGUAAGAAAGAGACUAUACAUUGACUGUAUAUUAGGAAUUUGUAAUGUGUAGAGGACAUUAUUUGCUUAUAUGCACAUUUUAAAGCUCUUAAUCAUUUUGUACUUUUCGAAAUAUGGCAUGCAGGCCAGCUCUACGUCUCUAUAGCCUCAGCAUUUUCUGAGCCAGUUAAUUUUCCUGAAUUUUAAUUAUUUUUAUGUAGCUCCAUGGUUUAAAGCAUAAUGUAAUGUAACCCUUACAGAAUAUAACAAAAUGUAAAAAAAAUGUAAGAUGAGUGGGCAGCUGUUUGAUUUCUUUUUUUGUUAAAUGUGGUGGGGAGCUGUCCACCUUGUCUGCUCUGACUUGUCACCUUAGGGGGAACAGUGCUCAUCUGAGACAUAGAUAUCUACCUGUGCUAUUAGUAAGGUAUGAUGAUGCAAUUAGGAUGUUAUUUUAGAGCAGUUAUUUUCAGUAGUACAUGCCUGAGUGGGCUCAAUAGCUAGAAGAAACUUGUUCUAAAAUAAAAAUGUUUCUGCAUGAUGUAAUAGUACCUAAUUAUGGGGGUGUUAAACCACCUAUUUAAUAUGGAAAUCAUGAUUCGGGCCACUUAUCAUUUUUUUUUAAAAAAAAUAUACUGCUAGAAGCACAUGGAGCAUGCUAGUCAAUCCCCUGGUUUUCAGUAUCUACUGCUGUAGGUGCCAUACAUACUGACAACAUACCAAAAAAAGGUUUACAAAUGAGAAAGGGACAGAGUCAACUUUUGUGUUACACAUCUGCCAGGUAGAUAUAUAUCCUUCUGUAUUUCCACCAAAUCAUGGUGCACAAUCUCAUUAGUGUAAAUGGUGGAAAAUGGUGGAAAAUGAGAAAGAGGACUACUAUGGACAUAUGUGUGUAGAUCUGUGCUACUCAAUAUGCAAGAACCUUUUAAGUAGGGAUAAGUGGCGGAUCUAGGGGGGGCAACGGGGCAAUUGCCCCCUCCCCCCCCCCCGAGAAAACUGACAGUCUCCCUCUCCCCUGCCAGCACACGCAGGCGCCAGAUCAAAGAUCUCCCUCACCGGUUCGCAGACACUGUGCUGACAGCCGGCGGGGGGAGGGAGUGAGAGAGGACCCGGGAGCUCAGCCUGCAGCUCCUCCGGGUCCUCCUCUCGUGAGCACGGAGCAUUGCCGCGGUUAUCACGGCAACGCUCCAAAUCUCGCUAGAGUGAACUCUAGCCCUGGAGCACUCUAGCCCUGGAGUGCAGGCUAGAGUUCACUCUCCCCACUGGAUCCACCAGGGAAUCCCACUGCACCACCAGGGACAUAAAUAUUUAUUUUAAUUAAAUAAAAAAAUAUAUAUACAUAUUAUUAAAAAAAGCCCCCCUACCCUUAUCACACACACACACACACUCUACACACAUACACUGCCCCUAUACACACACAUUGCCUCCCAUACUGCCCCCAUACACACACAUUGCCCCCCAUACUGCCCCCCCAUACACACACACAUUGCCCCCAUACUGCCCCCCAUACACACACUGCCCCCAUACACAUGCCCCAUACACACAAUAUGCCCCCAUACACACACAUGCCCCAUACACACAUACACGCCCCCAUACACACACGCCCCCAUACACACACACAACCCCCAUACACAUACACUGCCCCUAUACAUACUGCUCCCCAUACACACACACACUGCCCCCUGCACACACACACACACUGCCCCCCCACAUACAUGCCCCCCAUACACACACAUACUGCCCCCAUACACACACACUGCCCCCCAUACACACAUACACUACCCCCAUACACACACACUGCCCCAUACACUGCCGCCCCAUACACACACAUUGCCCACACACACAUACACUGCAAUACUCACACACACACACUGUCCCACACAUACACUGCAUCCCUGACAUACACUGCCACCUUAGCACACACUACAACCUUCACACACACACACACUGCUCGCACACUGUCCCCCUCACACACACACACUGCACCCCUUACACAUUGCACCACUCACACACACCACUGCUCCUAUGCCCUACUACAGCCCCAUUUCCCAGCAGACCUCAGGUAAGUUGUCAAACUGUUCUUAAAUGGUUUGACUACUUACUCUAGGAGGGGGUCCCGGCACUAUUGACACCAUAACCACUACACUGAGCUGUAGUGGUUAUUGUGUCUAGAUUAUUUCUUUAAAUAAUCUGCAAGUGCCCCUCCCGAGAUCAGGCUCUGGAUCCGCCACUGGUAGGGAUGUGCAUGGGCAAAACAUUCAGUUCGGUUCAGUACUUCCGAAAUUUGCGACUUCGGCAAUUCAGCACUUCUGUUCGGUUCAGCACUUCUGAAAUUCUGGACUUCGGCAAUGCGACACCUCGGCAAUUCAGGACUUUGGCAAUUCCCUAACCCUACCCCUAACCACCACAACCACUUACACAUUUAGAGUUAGGGGUAGAUUCCUGUCAUCAUUCACAUAAUUUUACCUUCCUCUCUUGUUUUGCCACUUUUCAGAAAUCCAAAGCACUUCGUCACUUCCAAAAUUCGGCACUCCGGCAAUUUGGUUCAGUUCGGCACUUCUGAAAUUCGGCUCUUCGGUUCAGCACCUCCGAAAUUCGACACUUUAGAAAUUCGGACAUUCGGCAGCAAUGAAUUGCACAUGUCUAUUUUUAAGUAGUGAUGAUGAUCAAAGAAGAAAGGAAAAAAAAACUGUGGUGAAGUGGAAGUAGCAGUGGGGGAAGAACAGAGUGUUUUGCCUGCAGAAUACUUAAUAUUUUUUGGAUAAGCUUUACAAAUGAUUUAAUAAUUUGAACAAUAAUAUUUUAAUAUUGUGAUUUUUAAAUUAUAUAUAUAGAUAUAUUUUAUAUAUGAUAUAUUUUUGAAAUUUAAUUAUUUGAAAGAAAUGUUUUCAUAGGCUUAUCCAAAAAUAUUAAAUUAAGGCCUAAGUCUGAAAAAAUGAGAGAAAACAGGGCAUAGAAAAAAUAUGGUAAAAGAGCAAAAGAAAUGUCUGGUUGCAGGAGACGCACUUCAGAGGCAGCGACGCACCCAAACUAGAGAAUCGCCGCUUUCCAGCAGGAUAUUACGCAAACCACCCAGAUGCCAGGAAGGCGGGGGUGGCAAUAUUGUUCCCACACACGGUACCUUUCCAAUGCACAGCGACAUUGGCAGAUCCUAAUGGGCGCUACCUUUUUCUCAAGGGCACCAUAGCAGAUCAUACAUAUACUUUCGCAUGUCUGUACAGUCCCAACAGAAGACAACAUAUCUUCAUAAACUGAACCCUAACCAAGCUGGAGAGCUUCAGGGAGGGUCUGUUGGUGAUGGCGGGGGACCUGAACCUGUCGCUCGAUCCCCGCCUGGACACCUCCAGAGGCACAAGCGCGGUGCCCGCACACUGCAUACGCACAACUCUGCGGGCCCUGAGCAGGUUGGGGCUGGUGGACUGCUGGAGGGCGAGUCACCCGGAUGACCGAGACUACACCCAUUACUCGGCGGUCCACUCGCACUACAGCCGCAUUGACUACAUAUUCCUUGCGCAAGAAUAUCUGACUCUACUGCAUAAUAACGACAUCGAGCUGAUGGAACACUCCGAUCAUGCACCUGUGGUGGCUCGCACAAGAUCCCCACUGUUUCAACUUAGCGAACGACAGUGGAAACUUAAUGAGUCCCUUCUCGACGAUCUCGAACUCAAGACCACGGUAGCUGAUGCCCUAACCCAAUACUUCACUGACAACGGAAUACGGAGGUGCCUCCACUGAUGCUCUGGGAAGCGCAUAAAUGCGUCAUCUGGGGCCACCUCAUCGCUGCAAGCACCAGGCGCAAAAAAAGACCGGACCAUACGCUUGACCACCCUAACGAAAUGAAUAGCCGAACUAGAACAUGAACAUAAACAAGAAACCGCAAGAAAGUCAGCCAGAUUAUUUUAUGAACACUCCAAUAAGAGUGGCAGGUUGCUGGCAAGGAUGCUACUGGACAAACGGAGGACACAACACAUCCACAAGAUCCAUGCACGGGGAGGGGACGUCACGCUUUAACCGGAGGGCAUCCUAGAUGUGUUCCAGGAAUACUACGCGGCACUAUACACUCAGGCUCGAGAGGGCUGGCUGCCGAUAGAUCUCACGCAGGUAUACCAAUUGAAUUUUGCCCCUCUCCUCGUGACACUACAGCAGGACUUAAAACGAUGGAUGUCCAAGUACAUAUCUUGGUUUGGCCGCAUAAGCACUAUAAAAAUGAAUAUUAUGCCACGUAUCUAUUUCAGACUCUGCCUACCACCAUCCCCCAAGUCUUCUUCCAGACGCUAUCGUCCAACAUCAGACAGUUUGUUUGGAACCAAAGGCCCACACGGGUCCGAAGAUCGAUUCUGGAGCGACCAAAGAGUGAAGGAGGAAUGGGACUCCCAUAUUCACUCAUGUAUUACCAGGCGACCCACCUACACCGAUUGGUCGACUGGCACGCCAACCCAAACACUAAGCAAUGGUUGGACAUGGAGCUCCAACAAGCACAAGGGAAGAUCCCAGCCCUGCUGUGGCUGGGUGAGGCUACGUUCAGAGAGAUACGCACAGGCAACCCAAUGAUAGACGCCACCCUCAGGGUCUGGUGCGGGAUAAGGUACGCCAAGCGGCUCACCACAUCCCCCAACCCACUCACACCUAUAACCAACAACCCAAAAUUAGCUGGUGGACUAAACUCUGCUACUCUUAAAAACUUCCAGGCGUCAGAUUGGGUCUACCUUCACCAAUGGUGCAGCGGCCGGAACCUUAAACCCCUGAUAGACCUAAUACAAGACCGCAGACCAACCAGACUAGACGAAUUCCACUACCACCAACUCAAAACUUACUACAACGCUAUCAUGGGAAAGGACCAUGUGCACCGGCCCUUACUAUAUCUUUAACAACUAUGCAUGGCCAGGCAACAUCUCUCACAUGGUGUAUUAACUAUUUAUUCCGCACUAAUGAAUAGUGGAGACAAGGGCGCUUUGGGCUUCACUGAGCGGUGGGAGAAAGAAAUGGGGAUCGAGCUCACGGAUGCGGAUUGGACCAAGAUCUUCCAGCUGAUGCACAAAGGGACUAUAAGUUCAAAAUACCAAGACUGCAACUAUAAAAUACUGACGCACUGGUAUAGGAUUCCGGACAUCCUAAGACAUGUUCAUGACUCGAUACCCGGAGAAUGCUGGAGAUGCGGAACUGAGAUGGGUACAGGAUACCAUAUCUGGUGGACGUCCUAUACUGGGAGAUGGUAAACCGCACAAUUGAAGAAAUCACCGGCACCGAACUCCCACUGCAACCCCUGACGAUGUUGCUCAACCACACGCACACACCACUGAAGGCAUACAAAAAAGGACUCACCAUACACCUGCUCACGGCGGCAAAAACUUAUCCCCACACACUGGAAAAGCACAACAGUACCCUCCCUGGGGCAAUGGAUCGCCAGGGUGGAAGACAUCUACAAUAUGGAGAUGUAGAAGGCCUCCCUGCAGGGACGAGCAGACAAAUGUGCGCUGACCUGGUACCCGUGGAUGGACUAUGUGACCAAAAGAGCUGCGGCGGCGGGCCCGCGCGCGGGGGGGGUAUGGGGUCGGCGGCUACUAGAGACUAACACAGACUCAAAUCACACACACAUGUGGACAAUACCCUACAGCCACAAUAACCCCUCUCCCCACCCUCCCAAACUGACCACGGACAUAUUACCGACACACCAUAACCCAAGACAGCUGAACCCCCCCCCUGCAAGAUCAGACCGGUAGGGGACUGACCCAAGGUAUAGGGUCAAAAGGAAAAUAGGCUUCCCCAACUAAGGGACAAUAUCCUACACACAAACUAGGAGCCCUCCCAGCCCCACAUAACACCCAACACCCUUGACACAACAGACCCCAGCUUCCAGCACUUAGAUAGGGGACCAGUGCCAGUACUACCUCUGGUACCCACACUGCAAUGCGCAACGCAACAAAGGGUACCUGGGCAAGGGGGGGGUGGGAGAUAAGGCCAUGGGCCUACGGGCCGAUGAUGGGGUUCACUCAACGCACGAAAUACACACCCACUCCUCAAUGGUGCCCCUCAGGGUACCCAACAUGCAAUGGUUGAAUGUUCAUAAUGAGGGCUCUGAUACCGAGAUGCUGGGUUAUAAAGCCCGCACAUCUCACAGUAAUAAUAAAAAUUGAGGUUGUUAGACUACAUUAUAUGUUUAGCACAACACCUUUAAAACAGUGUAUGAUAUUGAUGAAUUGCUAACCACACACAGUAGCAAAGUCGCACAAUUUAACUUGUACUGCCUUGACAUCAAUGACAAAAGUGGAGAAUGUCGGGGGGGGGGGAGGGUAGGAGAAAGAAAGGGAUAUACAUAUUUAUAUAUUUUUUUUUCUUUAUAUAGGCUGCACUGUCAUCAUAACGUGAUGGGGUAUAUCUCAGAGGUUUCAAAUUUCAUUUCUUUAUGGGUACUCACAUUUGUUUGGAGAACCCUCCCGACACCCGGCCUAGCCCUUGUGGUUUUCCUAGGUACGACAAGCAUAAACUACUUAUUGUUUUACCUAGAAUAAGUGUAGCUAUGUAUUUAAGUAUAUUAACCUGAACAACAAAAAACAAGCAGGGACCCAACAUGUACAAAUAAUAUGCCUGUAUGUAUACUCAUUUCUCUACAAUUGUAUUAUAUCUCAGCAUGUGAUAUCUCAUUCUCUCUCAAUAAAAAUCUGAUUGACAAAAAAAAAAAAAAAAGAAAUGUCUGGAGAUUAAAAAAAUAAAAUUAGAGCAAAGUUAAAAAAAAUCUUGCUUCGCAACAACAGUUCACUAUAUUUCUGUAUGUGAUGGGGAAAAUACUUUGAUGGGAAAGGAAGAUAUAAGAGGUAAGCUUACUGCAAGAGUUUUGAGAAGACUUUUAGAAGAUAUACAAAAAUAAAAAAUAUGCAUGAUAUUUCUCCCAUAAAUGUAAUACAGCGUCAUAAAAAUACAGUGGACACAUUUAAUUUUAUCUAUUUAUUUUAUUAACUUAUCUGAUAUUUCUUUUGAUUUACUGUAUCUUUAAAGGAACACUAUAGCGUUAGGAAUACAAACAUGUAUUCCUAGCACGUUAGUGUUCCUUUACCUAUAAAUACCCCCACCUCCUUUGCCUUGAGAAUUUAAUAGUUAGGUUUACUUAUCUUCAUUUCACUCGGCUAUUUUGGAUGAAGCGCUUCUAGCGGCUGUGAGAGUGAUAGCCACUAGAGGCACUCAAAUCCUUCAAUAUAAACAUUGCUGUUUCUGCAGAAUGGCAAUAUUUUACAUUGCUCCUAGACCAUUUCAUUUUUUUAUUUUUUUUAGGUUUUAAAUUAGCACAUAAAACACUCCAUCCCUCCUUCAUUACUAUAGUUUCCCUAUGGACUGGCUAGAAGCACUACAAAAUAAACACAUUUUAUCUCAUAAUGUUUUAAAUGUUGUAAACCCUGUAUAUUUGCUCUUGACCAAAAUGUUUUUUGGUUUUUUUAAAGAUCUUCUUUAAAAAUGGACCUCAUGGUACAUGUAUAGGAUUUUCAUUGGAAACCCCUCAUGCCAUAGAAUGACCGAAUUGCCUCAACAUCUACUAUAUUUUCCCCUCCCUGGUGACAUACUGUUAUAACUCGAACUAGUCCCUUUUGUUUCCAUGGUCUGUGCUCCCAUUUUAUUUUCUAUUUCACUCUCUAUUCACGUGUUUAUAUCUUUGCCUAUUAGUAAUCUCCUUUUCUUUAACACUAUACCUUUUCAGGAGAAUAUUAUAAAUAGUGUUGCACUCUUCAAUGUAAUGGAAAGUUUAGAUGGAGAAGUAAAAAGAAUAGGGUAAAAUGAAGGAAAGGGGGUCACAUGGGGGUAGAAGGAAAUAAAAAGGGGAGGCUAAAAAGAAAGAGAAUUAAGAAAUAAAGUAUUUAAAGCUCCCAGAUGUCCUGGGUUUUGCAGGACCCAAUCAAAUUUCCAUCCCAGGUUUCUUCCCCAAUGUCUUGCUCCUGGGGACAUCAAGGACAUGUUUCCAAUGAAUGUAAGGUGAGUGCAUCAUUAGGCAUGCAAGUGCUGCACAGAGUAAGGUUAGAUCAUUAAACCCAUAUUCAGAGUGCAUAAACACAGUACUAAGGGUGGGCUGCCCUGUGUGGGGUCAGUCAAAGAGGCUGAACCACCCAAUUUUCAGGUGGGUCAGCAUCCUUUACCUCCACCUCCAAGUGAUCUGCUCAGCCAUCUGCCCUGGAUGUCUGUUCUUGAUGCACACUGAUAUACAGAUACAGAUAUUGACACAUACACAGAAAGUAAAACACAGAUACGCACUGAAACACACACAAAUACAGACAUUGAAACAUACACUUGAAGUGACACAGAUACACAAAUAUACCCAAAUUGACACAUACACAAAUACACACAUGAACACAUACACACACUGACCCACUGACACACAUAAAUGUCAUACAAUUUUAUGUUUUUAGUCACCAUCCUGCUAAUAUACCUUUUAAGUGCAUGGGGGUGGCUGCCUGGAGUCCUGCUGCCACCAUCAUGCAUACAAACAGGAGACAUAAUUUGUUAAAUGUAAACCCUUUAAAAAAAAAAUGCAUGUACAUCUGUUACCAGUCAAAUGCUUUAUUUAGAUUAUUGCUAUUUUGCUUAUAUGUGCUAUCUUUCUUUCUCUCUUUCAUUAAAUGUAGAUAUGCUUAUAAAAAGUUAUUUAGUCUAAAAAUAUAUAAAAAUGUUUUCACUGUCUAUUGCAUGUUCACACAAUUUUACAAUUUGCGUAUACCUUAGUAACACAGAACUCACUAGUUUAGAUAAAUUAAAUUUGUUCACAAUAAGUGUGCUGCAGCCAGAAAUUGUAGGGCUUCUGACUGGAUUGGAGGAGGGAGGGGUAAAAUGUGGCCAACUGCAAUUAAUUCACUGACAAACACUCACAGAUACACACUCACUCACUCAUACACACUGACAGACACACACCCAUUCACGGACAGGCACACAACACACUGAUGGAUCCACACACUCACUGACAGACACACACACAUUCACUAGCAGGCACACACACAUUCAUUGACAGACCCUAACACACACACACACACAAAUUCACUGAUAGACACACACUGAUACAGACACACUCUUUUAAUUAUUUAAAAAAAAUGUAAUUUAAAUCUUCCCAUGCUCCCUACAUUUGGGAGAGCUGAAGAGCUGGAGUGAAUCCGGUCCCUGGGGUCCACUGUGGUUGCUGGGAGGGGUUGCUAGGAGGUUAGACAUUUCCAAAUGGAGGCGGGAAGGGAGCUGUGCUCUUCUGACACACUCACAUACAUUUCCUCAUACACUCACAUAUUAUUAUUUUUUUUAAUAUAAGUCUACCCAGCCUCACUACCUUUGGGAGAGCUGGAAUGGAUCCUGUACUUUGAGUCCAGUGGGGCUGCUGGACAUACGGGCGUUUCUGCAAUGGAGGCGGCGAGGGAGCUGUGCUGGCUCCUGGCUCACAGCAGAGCACACGUGUGAGCAGAGCAAAAAGAGCACAGAGAUCACCUAGGAGGGUCCCUAAGGUGGCCAGCGGCAGCCGGACAGCUCCUCAGGCCCCUAGGACGCAACAAGGCUAACAAGGCAUGUGCGUCUAGGGAUGGACUAAGUUUUUAUGUUUUUACAGGUCUCAACCUCCCCUGCUUAAAAGGUUAAACAUUAGGUUGCCUGAGGUAUUGUGCCCAUCAAGCGUUGAUAAGGUCGGCUGAUGGCGGGCAUUGGAAGGAUUUUUUAUGACAAGGGGGGAGGUGAGAGGAAAUGGUGAUUAGGAGCCACUGGAUGUUUUAUUGGCAAGGACGGUUGGGUUUAUGCAUAGCACGUUUUGUUAUUAUAUGUUUAUAUGUUCAUUUAUGAUUAUUUAUUUCUAACAGAAAGAGUUUAAUAAAUGAAGUUAUGGAUGUGUUAUGCAGUAAUUUAUUUAUGUUAUAAUAAAUGCUGUGGCCUGUUCAUCCAUACUAAGUUGUCUGUCGUUAUUGUUUUUUUUUUAUUGGGGUUAUCUAUGUUAUGUGGUAUCGUAAUUCCCCACUACGUACAUACAUGUUUUUAAGAUGCAUUUUAAUAAAAUGAAAAUAGUAUGGAAAUGUCUACAGAAAGCAAUAAACAGUGCCUUCUUACUCUUCUCUUCUGUUGAAUUUCUAAAAACAUCUACAGAAGAGAUGUGAGGAUGAACCCUAAUAUGGUUCCCUGACUAGAUCCCCGUGGUGCUUGGAUUGAACUGUGCCACAGGGUACCACAUCUGUAAGAGAAAAGAGGCACUACACCAGAGAAAAUGGAAGAAUUUCCCUUUUGUACAAUAGUAAGGCUAGAGGAUCAAAGUCAUGCAAAAAUAUAUUCUUUGACUUACACUCGGUCAUACCGUCUUCUAAGAAUAAAAUGUAAAAUAUUUUAACAUCUUAAGAGGAAAUAUUGUGCUUUUUAGUAUUAGUAUAUAAAGAUAUCCUGAUAUGGAAUGAAGGACACAUUUCAUAACUUAAGAAAAUAAAAAGUUACCUGUGCUCUCUCCUUAAUCCCUAUGUAUAUUUAGACAAAUGGAGGUCAUUUAGUUGCUCCAAUGGCCAUUGGAGGGAAUGUCUGCCUGCCAACGUCAAGGCAGACUCCCCUAAAGCGGGUCCUACACUGACCCUUCAGCCUGCUUCCUUGAGCUUCUGGCAAAGAUAUCUCUAAUGAGACAGAGGGGUAUUUUUUAUAUACACCCCUAUAUACUUAUUAACCCUUAAUAGGGAACACAUGGGAUGGGCGGCAGCAUUGUAACAAGGCUGUGUGAUACAAAGUGAAUACAAAUACAAAAAGAUAAGUCCUGCGCUCACUCCCAUCACUACUGGGACGGCAGCAAUGACUACAGAUCAACCCCAAUAUAUAAUAAACUAUUAGAGAUAUAUUUGCCAGAAGCUCAAGGAAGCAGGCUGAAGGGUCAGUGUUAGGACCCGCUUUAGGGGGGGUCUGCCUUGACGUUGGCAGACGGGCAUUCCCUCCAAUGGCCAUUGGAGCAACUAAAUGACCUCCAUUUGUCUAAAUAUACAUAGGGAUUAAGCACAGGUAACUUUUUAUUUUCUUUGGUUUUUACUAUAUAUUGGGGCUGAUGUGUACUGUAGUCAUUGCUGCCGUCCCAGUAGUGAUGGGAGUGAGCGCAGGACUUAUCUUUUUGCAUUUACAUUUCAUAACUUGCUGCAUCUUUAAACAGCCAGAUCGUUAUAACUACAUAAUCUCACACUACAUAACCUUUUAUCUUAGCAGCGUGUAUAUACCUGGAUUAAAUGUAUUUUUGAAUUGCAACACAUGAAAAAUAUUAGGCCAAAAAUAAAAAUAGUUUAUUAAGUUAUAAUAGCAUUAUGUGAUUCUACAUCACUAUUGGGUCGUUAUGUAUACUAUACUGGUGCAUUUGUAGGUCAAACUGAAAUGCUACAAUAUAGCAGGGGGGGUGAGUGGGGGUUGAAAGGGGAGAGUAUGCCUAUAUACUGUUGGGAAAAAUACUCACAAAAACAAUUCUGCGUCAAUCCAGCCAUCCCCAGAGUUCUAACAGUAUUGGCGAAACCGCAUCAAUUCAAAUCUUUGUUACUAGUGUGAUCUAACACUGAUAUUGAUCUAUUCACGCCAAUUCCAAGUAAUCAGGGCCCUCACUCUAAUUGUAAAACUCUGCUGCGCCGGUUUCUGGUUCCAAAAUAACCUUAAUUACGAGAGACGCAACCUGUUUGUCGCAUGGGCAUGAGUUAAUGAAGCAGAAAUGAUAUGCAAAGGGCCUGGGCCUAUAAAUAUUCUUUAUGUUUAUGUCUCAGUGACCUUUUGUGGUUUUCUGACCUUUUGUGCUUUAUUCUGUAUAUUUUCUUGGAUUUUUGGUUUUGACUUGAUUGUGAUCCAGAACAGAUUUUCUGGUAUCCUUGACUGAGUUAGUCCUGCCGCUUAUUUUUCUAAUGUUUUUUUAUUUUCCUCUUGAUAUGUACAUCUGAUUUAUGUGGCCUAAUUAUUGUUAGCAUAGACCUGCUAUUUUUUCCUCACUGUUCUAAGCCUCUUCUAUAUCCCCUACUGUGUUGUUGUUAACGGUUGACUUUUUCUUGCUAAAGAUCCAACCAAUUUCUGAUAAUAAGAAAUGGCCAUAUGGGUCCUGCAGAUAUAAGUCAACAGUUAGUCUCUUCUAGGGCCAGAUUAGAGGAUUGGGACCACAGAAUGGAUUGGUUCGCUCAAGCUCUACAAACAUUGCUGGUUCAUACUGCUCUUCCCAGAAAAGCGCAUUCUGUAGUUUCUCAAGAUGUUGUUAUAGCCCCUCCUACUCCUCAGGAAAGUGGCACUAAGCUACCCACCUUUCACCUGUCUAAUGCUGUAUCUUUUGUGGAAGAUCCUCGUGAAUGCAUAGGCUCUUUAAACCAGGUUGCCAUCAAUUUUAAAUUUUCUCCUCAUUCCUUCCCUACAGAUAGAGUGAAGGUUGGUUAUGUUCAGUGGCGUACACACAAUCCAUGGGGCCCCAGUGUGAAACUGAUCCUUGGCCCCCCCUCCCUAUUUCCCCCACUCCUCCGCCCGACAGACGCAUACAGACAGAUACAUACAGACACAUACAUACAUACAUACAUAUAGGCAGACACACACACAGACACAUACAGACAGACACACACACACAUACAGGCACACAGACAGACACAUACAGACAGACACACACACACAUACAGACAGACAGACAGACACACAAAGACACAUACAUACAAACAAACAGACAGGCAGACAUACACACAGGCAGACACAUACAGAUAGACAAACACACACACAUACCACCAGGCACAUAUACAGACACAUACAUGCAUACAGACAGACACACACACACAUACAUACAAAGGCACAUGCAUACAUACAAACAGACAAGCACACACACACACACACAUACACACAUACAGGCAGACACACACACACACACACAGACAGACACACAUACAUACAGACAGAAAGACACAUACAGACACAUACAUACAGACAGACAGACAGGCACACACACACACACACACAGACAGACAGACACACACACAUACAUACAGACAGACACAGACAGACAGACAGACACAUACAGUCACAUAUACAUACAAACACACACACACACACACAAAAUGUUUGUCACCCUCCUGUUUCCUAUCUUUUAGGUGCAGGAGAGUGACUUUCCUCGGGGUCCAGUGGUGGCUCAGGUUGAUGGGAGUCAGAGUUCCCACUCUGACUCCCUGUUCUUCCUCCCACGCAGGCUCAGUGUAUGCUGGGAGGAGUGACGUGCAGCUCCCUCCCAGCUUGUGAUGUAAUCACAGGGGGCCCGGUCACGCUGUUAGAGCGCCCAGCGCUGACCGGGCCCCCUGACAAUCUAUAAACAUCGGGUGGCCCUAACAGCAUGGGCCACCCAAUGGACCACUUGGACGGCGGCCCCGGCGCUUUGCCGUGUGGGCCGGGGCUGCAAAAGAUGGCGGUGGGUACCCGGUCGCAAGGGUCCGCAGGGCGGCCCGGACCCCCUGGCGUGACGGGCCCGAUCGCAGCUGCGACCCCUGCGACCGCAGUAUGUACGCCAGUGGUUAUGUUAUUAAUCAGCUUACUGAGAAGGCCUUUGCAUGGGCAAACCCAUUGUGGGAAAAUAAUGCUCCAAUUUUCUCUGACUACAAGGAGUUUAGUUAGUAAAAACAAAAGGGAAUUAGGGGCACACUCGGAACAUGCCUCCUGCAGGAAUGGUGCUGCUGUAGUGACCAAAAUGUAUACAUAAUACAGAUUAAGAAACAGCGCACUCAUAAAAAUAGAUUUCUAAAUUUUAUAAGGCUACUUAAAAUUGCAUAUUUCAGUAAACAACUAUGGGGAUUCGGUUCCACCGUAUGGCCAUAGUUUGUUAAGCCCACCACUACUUCACAGUACCCCAAUAUCGGUGGGUCCUACACUAAUUCCAAUGUGGGAGACAAAUCAAAUAAUCCUAAAUAAGCCUAAGUGUAUUUAAUAAUCUGAUUGUAAAAGCAAUGUGAAUAUACAUAAUGCAAAAUUUAGAAGACCUUCCCAUUAUCAAAAACUGAAAACAAAGCUAUGGAAGAUUAUGCAACAGAGAGGUGCUGGCUAAGGGGUUUAUACAGAAAGCUUCUUCUGAGUUGGGGGUUGGCUUUUUCUUUGUAUAGAAAAAAGGGGAGGGAUUAUGUUCUUGCAUCGUUAUUGAUGACUAAACAAGAAUACUGUUAGAAACGACCUACCCUAUUCCACUAAUUACCAAGCUAUUUAACCCCUUAAGGACCAAACUUCUGGAAUAAAAGGGGAUCAUGACAUGUCACACAUGUCAUGUGUCCUUAAGGGAUUAAAGGGAAACUAUAGUGCCAGGAAAACAAACUCGUUUUCCUGGAACUAUAGCUUUCCCUUUUGUCAAGGCCCUCCCCAUCCCCCGUGGUGCAGAAGGGGUCAAUAACAUCUUCUGUCACUUACCUGGGUCCAGCAGCAAUGUCCCUCGGCGAUUGCUCAGCUCCGCCCACGCUCCAUUCCCACCGAUGUCCACUAGCGAUGGUGACCUAAUGCGCAUGCGCGGCAAUGGCCAAGCUCGCGUUAGGAUUUCCCCAUAGGAAUGCAUUUUUUAAUGCUUUCCUAUGGGGAGUCCAGUGACGCUGGAAGGCCUCAUGCAUAGCAUGAUGACGUAUCCACCCGGAAGUGGUAGACAGCCACUAGAGGAGGAGUUAACCCUAGCAGGUAAUUAUUGGGGUUUAUAAAAACUGCAAUAAUUACAUGCUCAGGGUUAAAGGAACUCUAUAGUCACCUAAACAACUUUAGCUUAAAGAAGCAGUUUUAGUGUAUAGAUCAUGCUUCUCGGGUUUCACUGCUCAAUUCACUGCCAUUUAGGAGUUUGUUUCUGUUUAUGCAGCCCUUGUCACAUCUCCCCUGGUUGUGAUUGACACAACCUGCAUGAAAAAACUGUUUUCACUUUUAAUCAGAUGUAAAUUACCUUCACAUUUUUUUCUCUUGCUCUGUAAAUUGAACUUUAAUCACAUACAGGAUGCUCUUGCAGGGUCUUGCAAGCUAUUAACAUAGCAGGGGAUAAGAAAAUCUAAAUUAAACAGAAUUUGCAAUAAAGGAAGGAUAAACUUUAGAUGACUCUUUACAGGAAGUGUUUAGGAAGGCUGUGCAAGUCACAUGCAUUGAGGUGUGACUAGGGUUCAUAAACAAAGUGAUUCAACCCCUAAAUAGCAGAGAAUUGAGCAGUGAGACUGCAGGGACAUGAUUUGUACACCAAAACUGCCUCAGUAAGCUAAAGUUGUUUUGGUGACUGUAGUGUCCCUUUAAGGUUGAUGGGAGUUUGCACCCAGACCACUUCAAUGAGCUGAAGUGGUCUGGGUGCCUACAUUGUCCCUGUAAUGAAAUUCCAAAAUCUUCACUAAAUUAGACCUUAGAGGUGCAUAAAACUUGGUAAAGAACAAGGAGGGAUGAAUGACAUACAGGAGCCAGCACACUCACUCACUAAACACCAAUUUAAAACACUGGAGUUGUGGCAGGUUUAUACAAUGUAUGAUCAUAUACUGUAACUAAAUUAUAUUUAAGCCUACCCCAUUUAUGAAGAUCCUAUCCUAGCAACUUAAUGUCUGCCAUUGAAUUAACUCACUUACUUGGGAAAUCAUUCCCCCUAGGGCUCUCCACAGUGCAAGGUUAAAUAGGACCCUGGAAGAGGCACUUGUGACAGGGAGGAGUGCAAAGCCACAGGAGUUGGCCUGCGUUCCCUAUUAUAUUUACAUAUGAAACCGAGAGGGCUAAACUCACCUGGAACUAAAUCCCCAUUAUUUUGCCAGGCGUUUUGCUUUUUUAAAGCUAUUAAAGUCUGUGAGUUUUGAAGUUGGUAUUUAGUGAGUAAGUGAAUGUUCUGGAUCUUGUAUGUUGUAUUGAUUGGCCCAGGCCCGGACUGGCCAUCGGGCACACCGGGCAAAUGCCCGGUGGGCCGCGGUGUCCGUGGGGCCGAGGCCGGCAGGGGAGGUCCCAGGAUCUCCCCGGCCGGUCUAUGCAGGGCCGGCACUAUCCGAGCGCCGGCCCCGCUGUCUUCCAUGGAGGGCCGGUGGGGAGAUCAAAGAUCUCCCUCACCGGCCCAUUUAAACAGACCUGCGGCUGGGGAGAGAGGGAGAGGACCCGGCGGAGCUCUAUCUUGCGGCUCCGCUGGGUUUCUCUCGCGAGAUCCGGAGCGUUGCCAUGGCAACGCGCCGGAUCUCGCGAGAGUGAACUCCACUGGACCACCAGGGAUGAUGUGAGUGUGCCGGUCCCCCUCCUCCCAGCUACCACCGUGCCGGACCCCUCCCAGGCUAAAGGUAAAGGGGGGGGGGGGAAGAUAUAAUGCAUUUUUGUUGUUGGUUUUCUUUACCCUCCCAACACACAAUCACUUUUAACAUUCACACACAGCACUCACACAGCACUCUCACACACAGCACUCUCACACACAGCACUCUCACACACAACACUCUCACACACAGCACACACAGCACUCUCACACACAGCACACACAGCACUCUCACACACAGCACUCUCACACACAGCAUAGCACUCUCACACACAUCACACACAGCACUCACACACACUGCACUCUCACACACAGCACAGCACUCUCACACACAGCACACACAGCACUCUCACUCACAGCACUCUCACACACACCACUCUUACACAUCACACACAGCACUCUCACACACAGCACAGCACUCUCACACACAGCACUCUCACACACAUCACACACAGCACACUCACACACAGCACAGCACUUUCACACACAUCACACACACACACAAAUCACACACACUGCACCCUUUAACACAGCACCCACAUACAGCACCCUUAAACACAACAUACACAGCAUCUUCACACACAGCACCCCUCAAACACAACAUCCAUCACACACACAUACUGCACCCUUCACAUACACACUACACCCCUCACAGACACCCACUGCACCCCUCACACAUACACGCAGAACCCCAACACACUGCACUAAACACACACACACACACAAUACUUCCAAACAUAUAUAUAUAUAUAUAUAUAUAUAUAUACACACACACACACACCACAGCACCGUUCACACACACUGAACCGCUCACACACAUACUGCACCGCUAAACAUAUUACAUUCCAGACACACACUAUAUCCCUUACCCAACUAUGGAUCAUAUACACACACCAAAUCCCUAUAUACACUCUGAUUCCGUUAUAUACACACACUCACUAGAUCUCAUACACAUUCUGGGUCCUUCAAACACACACUAGACUCCUGUAUACACACACACACACUGCACCACCUACACACACUACAUUCCUAACAUACAUACUUUGGAUCCCUGAUACACACACACUAGAUUCCUUGUAAACAAACACAUGCUACACCCCUAAACGCACACUCUCUACAACCCCUACAAACACUACAUCACCUAUAUACACACACACACUAUAGCCUGUGUGCAUACAUUUACUACAUCCCCUAUACACACAUUCUCUUCAGCUCCUAGCCACAUAUGCAUUACAUUACACCACAAACACAACACGACUAAAACCAACCUUAUUACACAAUACCAAACCACGACCAGCUCACUCUGCACACACACAAUCCCAAAGCAGGCUCCAAACACAUGCACAAUACUCUUUCCUUGCCCUUUUGUCUCCUGGUAUCCAUUUAUAGAGACACCAGAGACAAGUUUCAAGGAAACACAGUGCAAGCAUGUUAUUAAAUUUGCUUGCACUGUGCAGAACAAAUACAGGUUUUUUUUUCUUCUCAUGCUAGAGCUCUUUAGCAGAGCUCUGCCCUGGAAGAGCAUUGACCCAACGCUCACUUUGAGAGGGGGCGUGUUUGUCUUUGGUGAUGACGAAACACACCCUCUCUGCCCCACCCCCUUCUUAGUGGGCCGCUGUGCUAAAAAAAUGCCCGGGCUGAAUUUUUCUCCCAGUCCGGCCCUGGAUUGGCCCCAGCAGCACCCUAUAAUGUAUUCAUGUUCAGAUGAGUGCAGCCCUCUUGGUUUCACACAAAUUAAUGACAGACUCAGCAUUAUAAAUAUAUGGCGAAUCCUGGAUUUGGACUCUUUAAUGCUGUCUUCCAGAAAUGUAUUAAUGACAUACUAAGAGAUUUUUUCCAAUAAUGUGUCAUUGGCUAUCUUGAUGACAUUAUGAUUAAGUCAGCUGAUCUAGUCUCUCAUCAACAGUAAGUACAUCGUAAGUACAUCACGCAAGUUACUGCAAUAUUGCCCUAUAAUGUGAGCUCAAGAAAAGCCUUUUUGAAAAGGAUGUGCUUGUAUCCUUGCACAUCCAGGACCCAAUAAACCUUUUAUCUUGAAAGCCGACACUUCAGAGUUUGGAGUAGGGGCUAUAUUUUUCCAGAGACCUUCAUCCGAAGCCUCUUCCAUCCUUAUUGAUUCUUCUACAAAAAAAAAUUUUCUCUGGAGAUAGGAAUUGUGACAUAGGCAACAGGGAACUUUUAGUCAUAGUAUUUGCCUUAAAUGAAUUUGCCAUCAGAUUCCGUAGUUCUGUACAAUGGGUGGACUAACAGACAUGUAAUUGUAACCAGACAAGUGGAUGUACAGGAACAAAGAGGUGGAGGGCCCUGCUCGAUGAGCUUACAUUCUAGAGGAUAUUAUAAUUCUCACUGAUCACAACUAAAUUUACACUGGUAAAAGGGUAUCUUUCUGUCAAGCCAGUUAGUCUUUAAUUUUGUCACAUUUUAGCAAUAUUACUACAUAUCAUUCUGGAGGCAAUGAAGCAUGUAGGAGACACCCCCUUUCUACUGUGCCCCUUCACUGUAUUGUUGUUUCCACUUUUUCUUUCUUUUCUCCCAUUAAAGAGAUUAUAAUUUCUGCUUAACCAUCCAAACAAGAUAAUACUCCUUCAGGCAUACUAUUUGUUAUCAGGACCUCUACCUCAAACUUCUUUCAUUCUUCUAGAAUAGCAGGACACACAAGGAUUUGCAAAACUGUCUCCUUGGUAUCUAGAGCAUUUUGGUAGCUUGAGUUAACUAAGGAUCUUAAAUUGCAUCAGUCUGUUCUUUUCUUUUUAUAUAUUCUUUAUAAUUUUCAUCAGUCAUUAUCAGUCUGUUCUUACAUUCUGAUCCGUCACCCGUGUGGCUUACUCACACCUCUACCGGUCCCUGAAACACCCUGGUCUUACCUAUCAAUUAACGUUAUUGUUAACCUGCUUUACUACUGUUGUUGUGGGUUGUUGAUAAAUUUACUAAAAUUGCAAAUUUUAUUCUUCUAACUUUAGUUACAUAGGUUGCUAACUGAGUUAGUCUUAUAUAGUGAAAGCCAAUUUAUUUCUCAGUUUUUGAGGACAUUUUGUGAAGAGUUUGGCAUUCAGCUCUCGAUUUCCUCUGUCUACCACCCUUAGAUGAAUGGUGCAACUGAAAGGUCUAAUAAGUCUCUGGAGCAGUACCUAUGUUGUUUUGUGUCUGACAUUCAGGAUAACUUGCCAGACCUAUUGCCAUGUGUUGAAUUCACCAGGAAUAAUGCCAAUCCUGACUUUUCUAGUCAUAGUCCAGGCAUGGAUUUCACCCUACAGUUCUCCCUACAGGAGGUUUUGUAUUGAAGGAGUUGGGUGCCCAGUACGAUUUAGAAGAAUGGUUCGUUUUUUUUAAAGGUUUAAAAGGUAUUUCGUAUUGCACCGACCAUUUUGAAAAUCAUUAUAAAAUCUUAUAUCACUGGUACCUGGCUCCGUCUAGAUUACAUAACAUGAACAAUAUGUAUUCUGACCGGUGUUGGAGAGACUGUGGGGGAGUGGGCAAUAUGGCCCAUAUCUGGUGGUUCUGCCCCAAGUUAAUUAAUUAUUGGAAAAUGAUUCAUGAUCUAAUUAUUAAAGUGAACGGAACCAUUAGCAUCUUAACUUCGGAACUAGCCUUAUUUAAAAAACUCCCGGAGUCCGUUAAUAGAUCAGAUAAAAUAAUCAUAGGCCACAUUCUGAUCGCUGCUACAUCCUGUUUACCUAGACAUUGGAAGUCCCAAAAUGUGCCAUCUCUCAGAGAAGUUUUUAAUUUGAUUCUAGAAAACAAGGCACAUGAAUUAUCACAUGGAGCUAAUAUGCAUGGUUUCCCAAUACUAAAAUAUAAUUGGGACAAAUGGGAAGAAAAAAUCAGAACAGUUUAUGGUCUUUGAUAUAUUUCUUGUUAAAGUGCAUUGAUGUACAACAUUUUUUUGCCAUAUACUUUAUUAUGUUUAUUUCAAUGAUGGAUGGAUACCCCUUCCCAUUUCCAAGUUACCCUUCCUUUCCUACCCCUAAUACAAUGUUUGUGUUAUUAUCAUACAGCAUCUACAUCCAUCCCAGUCCGAUCCCAAGGUUCUCUCAAAUUAUUGAUUUUCAUCAGACAGGUAAAGCUACUGUGAACUGUUCCUGAUUUUUAUUUAUUUUUUAAUUAUGUUUAAUAAACUGGUUUUUAUUACAUAUCAAGUUUUACAUUGUCUUCAGUGGUUUUAGCGAUACACUGUCUGUAUUGCUCUACAGCAACCAGUUCCACCUACUGAUUUGCUUUACAAUUAGUGAUUUUUUCAUAUAUCUUCAUCCUUAGAAAAGUAUAAUAUUUGGUGGCAGUAUCAUUUACCCUGUAUUCUAUCAGGGAUAAGAAUAUCAGCACCGUACAUAUAUUUGCUGCAUAUUGACCUCAUUGUUCUUAUUUCUUAAAGACACAGUAUCUAUUUUUAGCAUUACUUUUAUCAUUUUUCUAUUUUAAUUUAUUUUAUAUUAUUCUAUUUGAGCCAUUAUCACAAGCCAACGCCUGGAUUUUAUGCACCAUAUGCUAGGGUGCUAUCUUUGCUAUUUCUUGUAGAGGUUUUGGUGAAUCCCAAUUAUUUCCAGUGUGAGAAGCUUUGUGUUAGUCAGACUCCCUCUCUUCUGGAUAUUCCAUCUAGGAAUACCAGUUUCCCCAUUAUUCAUCUUUAUGUUGCUUCUACUAAGUUGGCUCCCAGAUAUAUUGUGCCUUACAAAUAGUCCGUAGGGUAAAUCCAGUUCUUUAUACCUUGGACCUACUCCCUAGUGUUAGCAUUCCCCAAACCUUCCAUGUGUUCCUUUUGAAACUUCUACUCUGUAACAAAUGUCACUUCUACUCCUCCAGUACAGGUUGAUGAAUACGAGGAAUUUGAAAUAGAACAGAUUGUGUACUCUUGUCUUUCUAGAGGCAGGUUUCAGUAUUUUGUCCAUUGGAAGCGGUAUGCGCUGAAGGAUCGAUCUUAGAAAGACACUAAAGAUGUAUAUGCUCCCCUUCUAGUUAUACAAUCUCGUACACAUAUUGCCGAUAAUCAUAGAGGGGACCACCUAGUGGGAUAAUAGUAGAGGAAAAAUGUUAGUAAACAUACUUACAAAAACAUUUCUAUCCAGCCAUGUCCACAGGGUUCUAGCGACAGUAUUGGCAUACAAGUGUCAGUUUCGAUGCUCUUGUGUCAAUUGCUCCUCGACAACUUAAGAUCAGCUCCAAUAUUGAUGCAGCCACAUCAAAUCCAAGUAAUCUGAGUCAUCAGUCCAAUUCUUACACAGCUGGUUCUCUUUCUAUUACUCAGCCUAGUCAGUUUAGACACAGCCAUAUUAUUACUAGGUCACAUAAUUUUAUCGUUUCUGAUAUUAUGGCAUCCUGUUCGUUGCACUGCACACAUGUGUCAAUGACACAGAAUUGAUGCAAAAGGCGUGGGCCUAUAAAUACUCUCUCUGCUAAUGGUUUAGUGCUAUUUUGUGGUUCUCUGACCUUUUAGAGCAUUAUUCUGUAUAUUGUCUUGAAUUUUUGCUUUGACCCAGUCUAAAUUGGGACCCCAAUCUGAUUUUCUGGUAUCCUUGACCCAACUAGUCCUGAUGCAGAUUUUUCUAUUGUUUUCGGGUUUUGACCUGUCUUGUCUUGACUAUGAUUUGUUAUUUUCUUCCUGAUUUGUGCUUCUGGUUUAUCUGGCCUGAUUAUUGUUAGCAUAGAUCUUCUACUUUUUGUUUCUAUUCUAAGCAUUUAGCACCGGUAAUGUCUCAUCUAUCUCUCCUACUGUGCCUUUGUUGAGAUUUGUCUUGUAUCUUGCUGAGGCACCAACCCAUUCCUGUCAUAUACAGACCUAUGUUUUACAUUCUGAUUACAUAUAUUGCCAGCUAAAUUCUAAAAAUGCAAUUUUAUCACAUGACAGGAGGCUUCCUAUUUUGCAUAACUCUAUUUACUAAACUCCACAGCAGUAAAGAAAGUGAAACAUUUAACCAAUCAAAAAUGCAGUAGGGAGUAUCAUAUUCCCAGUAAAUAGGCUCCUCCCCCUCUUUCUUUACUGCUCCAUCGCAGACAGGUUAGAGUUUUUGUCUCUUUCCUUUAUUAUGUAUUUAUUUAGUACUUAUUACUAUUCUCUAUUUGCAAUCCUUUAUUAUUGUGUAUGUUAGUAUUUUUUCCUAUAUUUGGUUGCCUUGUGUAUACUUCAGUGUAUAUUUAUCCUUCAGCUACAACUUAUUAGUUGGUCUAUUUUACAGUAAUUAUUAUUAUAUUUAUCAGUUCUUAUUAGUUUCUGUCUAAGUAGUUUUGUCCGUUUUUCCUCUGACUAGGGGAAACCCUCUCAUUUCCCGCCCUCGGGCAGACCCACUCCGUUCCAAUUUCGGAUAUCACCGAAAUCUCCCCUCACGCCCCAGUCCUCGCCGUCUCUCGAAAGCUCUCAGACUUGUUCCUUUACCGCCUCUCGACAGCUCUCGGACUUGUUCCUUUAUCGCCUGCUCCCUUUACGUCCGCUCAUCAACGGCCGGCGGCCAUCUUCAUUCUCGCAUAUCGCGAGAUUACAGCCACCAUCUUAAACGUCUGCGAGUGCAAUCCCCACACAACGGAACUCAGCUCUGCCAGCCUGACCUAACGGAACUUCAAUUCAUAAACGAGCUAAACGUUCAGAGGUCAGUUAGAUGGAUAAUAUCCUAAAGCUGUAUAUAUAAGCACUAAGGAUAUCAUUAACCCGUGCCUUACUGGGGUGUUGCACCUAUACUGUGCUGCUGCUGGAGGUCGCCCUGUGGCCUCUUCUGUUUUUUCCCUGGUUGAGGCCCAGUAUCAUAUAUAUAUUAAAACCCAAUACUGUGGUUCCCUACCCUGCUGGGGCAAGCUGGAACUGCCAGUGCAAAACAUAUACUGUAUAUACCCUGCUUGGUUUUUUCAUUAUAUAAACCCUGCUGGGGUUUCCAUACCAUCACUAUAUCACAGAGAUACCCUGCAGGGGUACUGCGUGCAUACCCUGCUUGGGUUUAUUUUCUAUGUGUUUUUUACAAUUCACACGUUAAUACAACACCCUGCUGGGGUGUCAAGGGUGCUGCCCAUCUAGUCACUACAGUGACUAGAAUUACAGCUUCACUGACCUCUGCCACAUACGCCCUGUGCCACACCUACAUAUUACCAAAUUGACAAGAUGGAAGCCUCUUAAAUGACAGAUCUCCAAGCCAUGAUAAAUGAGGCCGUAACCGCCUCCAUGGAGAAAGCUCCCUCCAAAAUGAUGGCCUCUAACUCUGACAAGAGGAAACCAUCAAAAUCCCACCAAUCCCGCCAUGACUCCCCAGAAUCUCACAAGAGCCAAGAACCCCACACUGGCAAACGCCACUGGAAAGGGGAAAAGGGGCACCAGAACCCGACCAAGGGUAAGACACCUGCCAAACCUCACAAUCCCUCUAUGGUCACCACCCCAACCUUACAACACGAGGACUCCUCUGAUGAGGACGACACUUGCACAAAGUCCAUGGCCGUUUUGGAUGAAUGGCAAGCAGAUGAGUCAGACUCACAAGAUGACGCAUGGGGCUCAGACUCCGGGUCUCAACCCGGCCUCUUACAAAACACCUUACUGGGAGACUCCCUACAUCCUGAUACCGUGGACACCCCGCAAGAGGACUAAGACACCAUCUUUGAUCCGUCGGCCACAGACUCUUUGACCCGAGAAACAUACGACAUCCACGCUCAAGGGACUGGACACCCCCGGAUCAUCUUGUAAAAUGUAUGCACCUCUGGCUACGUAAAUCCUUAGACAAGACCGUCCGCAAUCGGCUGCGGUCAGAAUGCCCACGACCCUCGCUUACCGAUCAUGUCGCAGAGACGCCCGAGUUCGAUCAGGUGAUGACCACCUUUAUGUCUCAAGGUGGCCCUGACCCCCGCAAAGGGGUGGAAAAGGGUUUCAGAGGGGUACAGGAAAAAUUACUGGACUCAGUGGGACCAUUAGCCAGAGUCAUGUAUUUAACUGACGAUGCCCUUGCGAGAGCAGACCAAUUUGACGCAACCAUGGUGCACGAAUGGGCUCAUGAUGUGCGGGAGUGGGCACAAAGAUGCUUCUGCUUUGUGGGUAAUGCAAAUGUCACCCUCUCCUCCGAGCGACGCAAAGCGGCACUACGCCGUAUUGACAGAAAAUUGGUGGAAUUGGGCACCAAAGAAUUAGGUCUGUUGGCACAGGGCAAGCUAUUCUGAGACCCUUUCCUUAAAGAUUUAAACAGGCACGUUAACGUGUUUACAUCUCUGAAUAAAGCUCAAUCCUCAAUGAGGAGAGUCUUCAGACAAAACCCCACCAGAGGUGUUUUUGGAUGGGCUGGCUGACAAAGGGGCUGUGCAACCAGCCAUUUCUGGCCUUCGGGCCCUCGCACUUCAAGGCCCUAACCUUUCUACCCGGAAGUGGGAUAUCGUCAACCAUUCUCCUACACCCGAGGUGCAGACAGAGGUCGUGGACCACGUACCUGAGGCAGAGCACGCUUCUCUUCUCUACCGGUAAGCAACCAUCUAACACAUUUUUCUCUCACACUUCGUACAGCAGGUCGCAUCUCUCUGUUUUUUUCAGGAAUGGACGACCAUCUCCACGUACGCAUGGGUCCUACAAACGGUACAGGGCUACAUCAUCGACUUUGUAGACCGUCCACUUUAAAAGGACCUACCACAUCCCAUCAACUGCUCAAUAGAAGAUCGAACCCUCAUAAACAACGAGUUGCAAGAACUAUACUCGACAGGUGCAAUCGAACCCGCCUCCGGUCCUGGAGCUUUCCUCAGCAACAUAUUCUUGGUGAAGAAGUUAAUGGGAGAAUUUCGCCCCGUCAUAAACUUGAGACGACUCAACGAAUACGUCACAUACAGGCACUUCAAGAUGGAAGGCAUACAUCUUCUGAGGGACCUAUUACAAGACAAAGAUUGGUUCACAAGGCUAGACCUAAAGGAUGCUUACCUUUCAGUACUCGUCCACCACUCCUGCCGGCAAUUCCUACGUUUCCUCUGGCAAGACCUUCCCUGGCAGUUCACGUGCCUCCCCUUUGGCCUCAGCUCGGCCCCAUGGUGCUUCACCAAAUUACUGAAGCCUGUGGUUGCUCAUCUUCGAACACAAGGAAUUCGCUGCAUUAUAUACCUGGAUGACCUCCUGCUGUUCUGCUCCGACAAGUCCAGACUGGUACGGCACACACAUUAUACCACGGAUCUCCUAUCAUCCCUGGGUUUCGUGGUGAACUUCCAAAAGUCGGCCAUCCACCCAUCUCAAACAGUGCAAUUUUUAGGAUUUGAGAUAGAUUCCACCACCAGCAUGCUACGACUAACGACGUCAAAAAAAGAUCAAGGCCAUCCGCAAGGAACUACGCAGGACCAUUCGGUGCCACACCAUUCCACUCUGCGCCCUCGCCCGACUGGUGGGACUCCUCUCGGCUUCCAUACAAGCUAUCGAGAUGAACUCAGAUGGUGGCUAGACAGCAUGGAAGCAUGGAACGGUCGGGCCAUUUUCGGGAACACACCCAACAUAGUCCUGAAAUCGGACACCAGCCUCUGGGGAUGGGGCGCCUGGAACUCCCAGGACCUCAACAUGCACAUAAAUUGCCUAGAGCUUCAGGCAGGAUCCUUUGCCAAACGCAGCCUGGCAAAAGACAAGACGGACUGCUGCAUCCUCCUCAGGAUGGAAAACAUCUCCGCAGUCCGCUACAUCAACCACCUGGGCAGAGCCCGAUCCCGUCUCCUGUCAGAGAGAUUUUCGACUUCUGUCUACCUUGCAACAUCUCCCUCAAAGCAGAAUACCUCCCAGGGGAGACGAACCUCACGGAAGACUGGUUCUCACGCCACUGGCGAGACACCAGCGAUUGGAGACUGGAUCCACAGAUCUUCAACCGCAUAGCGGAACACCGGGGUCCGUUUCACCUGGAUCUGUUUGCAUCACACAAUAACAGGCAAACACGAGUGUAGUUCAGCUGGCUCCCAGAUCCGGAAAGUAAAGCGGUAGACGCAUUCCUACAACCGUCGCCGAACACGGGAGCAUACGCUUUCCCUCCCUUUGCCAUGAUAGCAAGGACCAUCCACUACAUGAAAAGUCAACAAGUCUCUCUAUUGCUCAUCACUCCCUUAUGGAGGGGACAACCAUGGUCCCCAGAUCUCCUGGCACUAUCAUACAGGGAUCCCCUCCUACUGCCUCAUCAUCCGUACCUCCUCACGGAUCCAAAAGGUAAUCCUUAACCACUGAUCCUGGACAAUCGACUCACUUUGGUGGCUUGGACACUUUCCGGGGUGCCUGGCAAGUCGGUGGACUAUCGCAGGCUGCUAGGGACCUGCUAUGGGACUCAUGGGCUCCAAGAACCAGAAUAUGGUACCUAUCUGCUUGGAAUUCCUCAUCCACUUGGUGCAUGGAUCUCGAUCCAUUUACAGCCACUAUUCCAGCCGUUUUAAACUUUCUAUCUCACCUGUUCUCGACAGGGCGAUGAUACAGAUUACUUAAUGUAGUCCGUUCCGCUAUCUCGGCGGCCCACGUCCCCAUACUAGGGAUCCCGGUGGAAAGAGACCCACUGGUGUGUCGACUCCUAAGGGGCAUCCGACUGCAAAUAUUCAUGGCACUGGGACGUAGAUGUGGUUCUCCGUUUCCUGAGAGACUGGCCGACUAACGACAGACUUUCCCUCCGGCAACUCUCAGCAAAACUCACGGUUCUGCUUUGUCUCGUUUCUUUCCGCAGAGUUUCGGAUAUUCGGGCAUUUGACAUAGAUGCGUUUUCAGUCUCCCCGGACUCUCCAUCGGUUUUCUUCCCCUUCUUCACCUCGGAUCCACACCUCUGCGUCGUCUCUACUCUACGACAGUACGUGGAAGUACGUGGAGGUUACGCUACCGAUUCGGACCUCGUCCUCAGGCCAACUCCUGGUAUUAUACGUUAGACCACACGUUCCCUUUUCGGCAACCACUCUCAACAUAUGGGUUUGUUGGAUACUGUCUCUAGCAGGCGUAGACGCUUCUUUCGGGGCCCACUCGUUACGCGGUGGCUUCCUCAGCCUUCUCGGCGGGUGCCUCGCUAUCGGAUAUCCACGUUCCGCACAUUCUACUUCUGCCCGAACUCCGGUGCGGCCACAUCACUCAUACAACAGUGUUAAAAAUGCAAAAUAGGAAGCCAUGUGAUAAAAUUGAAGAUUAUGCUAGCGCUAGUCUAUUUAUAAUCUUAAUUUUAAUAAUGACAGGAGGCGAGUAUUUUCCCACUCGGGGAAGAGGGGAAUCUCUGAAUUACAGUAUGUCUACAAUUUCUUUCACCUGCCUCCAUGCGAGCCUGUAUAUGUUUAGAUUGUCACCACACUUAGUUAUGGUCAGUUAGAAUUUGUCAUGGUAUAGCCAACCCGUAAUAAAAAUAUUGUAAUAUUAAUCAAUGGGUCGCUAUCAUUGCUGCAACCAGUUUUGAGACCGGUGCCUAACCCAUUUCCCAUUCUCUUUCAGUUUAAUUUCACGAGAGCAUGGAACAACUGCAGGAAACUAUCCAGAUUACUGCUCAGUCCAUGAAGACCAUCAUCCCUGUUGGACUUUUCAACCGUUGAUACUUGUUACCUCAAAGACCAUCGUUCUAUUGGAUUUUCACCAGUUGGUGCUUGUUUACAGACUCUAUAUACUGAACUUCUUCCCUGUUCACAAUGUCGCUUCCGAAAGAGGGG
rnacentral:lncRNA from 1 species